AAAAAACUCUCCUGGAACAAGGUAGCUAUGACAGCAGAGAGCUAGAAAAGGGAAAGAGCUGAUAUGAGCCAGCUUGUGCUCUUGAUGCAGGACCAUCUUCAUUUGACCAAAUGGAAAAUGUGACAUUGCCUUAUGGAUACGUGAAACAGCCAAACCUGAGCAGCUCUCCACCUGCUCAUGUCUGAAUUUAUAAAGGAAGCUUCCCCUUGCUCCAUUUGGGUUGAGGCAGCAGGAUUGUUUCCAUGAGAUGCUCAGCUGGAAGAUGAGCCCCAGGCUAUGGCUGGAGUGAAUGGCAUGUCAUGGGGCAAGGCCAG